UACGGAGGGAGCUAGCGUUGUUCGGAAUUACUGGGCGUAAAGCGCGCGUAGGCGGCUUUGUAAGUUAGAGGUGAAAGCCCGGAGCUCAACUCCGGAACUGCCUUUAAGACUGCAUCGCUAGAAUCCAGGAGAGGUGAGUGGAAUUCCGAGUGUAGAGGUGAAAUUCGUAGAUAUUCGGAAGAACACCAGUGGCGAAGGCGGCUCACUGGACUGGUAUUGACGCUGAGGUGCGAAAGCGUGGGGAGCAAACAGG
rnacentral:rRNA from 1 species